rnacentral:rRNA from 1 species
UACGUAGGGGGCAAGCGUUGUCCGGAAUCAUUGGGCGUAAAGAGCGUGUAGGUGGUUCAGUAAGUCCGCUGUGAAAGUCCAGGGCUCAACCCUGGAAUGCCGGUGGAUACUGUCGGGCUCGAGUCCGGAAGAGGCGAGUGGAAUUCCUGGUGUAGCGGUGAAAUGCGCAGAUAUCAGGAGGAACACCGAUGGCGAAGGCAGCUCGCUGGGACGGUACUGACGCUGAGACGCGAAAGCGUGGGGAGCAAACAGG